rnacentral:rRNA from 1 species
GAUGAACGCUAGCGGCAGGCCUAAUACAUGCAAGUCGGACGGGAUUGAGCUUUCGGGCUCAUGAGAGUGGCGCACGGGUGCGUAACACGUAUGUAACCUACCUUUAUCAGGGGGAUAGCCUCUCGAAAGAGAGAUUAACACCGCAUAACAUCAAUUGAUAGCAUUGUUGAUUGAUCAAAUAUUUAUAGGAUAAAGAUGGGCAUGCGGGACAUUAGCUAGUUGGCGGGGUAACGGCCCACCAAGGCGACGAUGUCUAGGGGAUCUGAGAGGAUGACCCCCCACACUGGUACUGAGACACGGACCAGACUCCUACGGGAGGCAGCAGUAAGGAAUAUUGGUCAAUGGGCGCAAGCCUGAACCAGCCAUGCCGCGUGCAGGAAGACGGCCCUACGGGUUGUAAACUGCUUUUGUACCGGAAUAAACCUUCUUUCGUGAAAGAAGCUGAAUGUACGGUAAGAAUAAGGAUCGGCUAACUCCGUGCCAGCCGCCGCGGUAA